rnacentral:tmRNA from 1 species
GGGGGCGCAAUGGUUUCGACGGGGAUCUUGAAGUGUGAUAAGCGAGCAGAGGUAGAGCGCCUCUAUAAAAGCUCUAAACUUUAAAAUUAAACGCUGAAGAUAAUUUAGCUUACGCUGCCUAAUUAUAGGUAGCCGUCCGCCGCGGAAGGACCACGGUCCGCGUUCGGGCGUCACUUAGUGGUGCACUUCUUAAGGCUUUGGCUCUACCCUUAAGAGGAAUAAAGAGCCUACUGACAUUUUGGCCUGUUCGUCGGCUGAAAUGAAGGGAACUUUAAUAGACGUACUACGCUCGUAGAAAUUUGCAUGAAUGGGUUUUCGGACACGGGUUCAAUUCCCGUCGCCUCCACCA